CAUCUAAUCCCCUCCCUGAUGGUUCUCUGGCGGCUCACUACUCUCAGAUUCCAUCGGCCAGACGGACAGCCUCGGUGCCCUAUCCAUGGCUCGGUCCUUUCUCCCCAAUGCCCUCCUAGCAGACACUACAAGUCCAUGGUCGUUCCCUGCCAGCCACGUUCAUGGAGUUGCGGCCCAUCUUUUUUCCGCCACUGCUUCCACGUCUGCUAUUACUUGGAUUAGGUAUUCUGGUAUGUUGCUGCAACUGUUGUACUCAUUGCCCGCAUUUAUCUGGGUUGUAUUUCUCUUUGUAGAUCAUGAUAUGAAUACUUGUAAUUGACGUGUCUUGAUAGUUACAUCUGCAUCUGACAACGCUUGCCUGGAAGAUCAGCAUCAUGACUCAACUAACUCGCUCCUUGAUAGGGACAUAGAUCUUCAGGCUCCUUAUAAAUGGAUGAGUUUGAGACUCCAUUUUCUCUAACGUUGCAGCUGAUUGUAGUACUGUAACGAAUAUGAAAUUAAGAUUCCAAUCCUCACUGCUGCAAUCAAUGUUUUAGGUUGCUGCAAUCAAGAUAGUCAUCCAAGUUAAGAUUAUGAACUAUACACUCUGGAUGGGCUAACACAGAAAGAAGUAUUCAGUGGAGGUUCACUCUGAUUCUUUCUUCAUCAAUGUAUCUGGAAAGUUUUCAAGAAGGGUACAACAGCUGGAAGUUUUGCCGCCCAACUAAAAGCAAGGAUACACCAUCCCUGCAAAUGCGAAUGCAUGGUACAGAUAACUGUUAAUGACAUCAACAAAUGCACUGAAGAUGGAGAAGCAAGAUACUAGAUUUUUUAAAAAAAAUUGGUAGUUCGUAGACAGUUCUUACUAUUUAGAGGCAGAAAAUGUAUGUAAAAUUGUGUAAAUGCACUGUCUGGAUGCUUGAACUUGUUCGUCUCUUUAUUUUUCUCUUCAGCACGAUAAUUACUUGUACUCAAGGUCCAAGUCUAUAAUAUAUGUACAGUGUAAUUUUGAAAAUGACAUUGC